rnacentral:rRNA from 1 species
UACGAGGGGGGCGAGCGUUGUUCGGAAUUAUUGGGCGUAAAGGGUGCGUAGGCGGUUUGGUAAGUCUGAUGUGAAAUCUAUGGGCUCAACUCAUAGUCUGCAUCGGAAACUGCCGGGCUUGAGUAUGGGAGAGGUGAGUGGAAUUCCGUGGUGUAGCGGUGAAAUGCGUAGAUAUCAGGAGGAACACCUGUGGCGAAAGCGGCUCACUGGACCAUAACUGACGCUGAUGCACGAAAGCUAGGGGGAGCAAACAGG